UACAGAAUCACAGUUUAAGUAUUGUGGAGAGGGGUGUGAUGAAGGCAGGCUGGGCAGUUACUACAAUGGACAAUGUGAUAAUGACAGGCACGUUAGAUUUGAGAAAAGCAGACGUUCACUUUAUGAGUGACACAAUGCUUAACUAUUGCAUACUACUCUCUAAUGCAGUAGGGGAAGCAGACAGACAAGUAAAAUAGGCGUGGGGAAUAACUCCCGAGGGGGGACAUGACGUAGUGCCAGGACAGUGGGUGAUGGUAAAAAAACAUGUUAGACAUUCUAGCCAAAAUGAGAAGGUCCUUAUCAAGUUUUGCUCAUAACGAGGUCAGCAGUAAAAAUCCAGGGAACAUCGCGAUGGAUACAUCAUUACAAGGUUGUCCAUUUUGAUGACACGGGGGAUUGAUUAGCAACCAGGGGCGAAUCUCGGGUGAAGAAGCAUAGUAAGAUGAUCAGAACCUGAUAAUCUUCUAUGUUGUACACAGCAAUCGUCAUAUUAUGGAUAUCUAGGUUAUAAGAAUAUAUUGUCUGAAGCUGCAGUAAUAUCCCUUGACCCAAGGACUGUACCUGAAAUGACACAAGAUCACCGGUGAAGUGUUCAUUAGAGAAGUCCUUAUCAACCAGCGGAAUGGAAGAAUAAUUCCUCACUACCGGCAGACUGUCAGAACAUAAUCUCUAAUAGUUCUCCAUUUGGGACUGAUACCAGUGUGGAAGAGCUGGUCACUUUUAAAUGACUUGGUGAAUGAUUACCUUGUCUACAAGAAAAUAAUAUUAAAUCGUCCUAUUGGGAAUCAUUUUUUGUGUGAGUUUCCUCCUAAUACAGGAUGUGGUAGGAAUCGUAAGGGACAUCAUCAUUACACCUGUUUAAUACUUAUUUUAUAUAACUUUGUUUGAAAUCAAUUUCUUAUUGUAAAAAGUAAAAUAAGUCAAAUAUGCCCUUUGUGUUUUAUAGAAAUGCAAUGUGUUUAAUGUAAAUUAUUUUAUGUUUAAUGCUAAUGUUUUUUUUAUUCAUGUUUUCUAAAAAUACAUUUUAAGUAUAUAUAUAUAUAUUUUUUAAUGGUCUAGCGUGGAGUGUAAGAAGAUUUCCAAGUUCUCAUUGGUCCAAAUUGUUUAUACAUUGAACCUGAAAUAGGAUACUUGGCCCAGUUUUAUUGCAAGGAAUUCUAAUUGGUCAGCCACAGGCUAGGGCUGGGUUAUAAAACUACAUCCUGUGCCUUUGUUCUGAAGAGAGAAUCACAGGAGAAAAUCACUGAGGACAGGGGAGAAAGAACAUCUACCUCCCCGCAUGAUUUGUCCUAUUUGAAUAAAUAUUUUCCUCCCCCGA